CCUACGGGCGGCAGCAGUGGGGAAUAUUGGACAAUGGGGGCAACCCUGAUCCAGCCAUGCCGCGUGUGUGAAGAAGGCCCUCGGGUUGUAAAGCACUUUCAGUGAGGAAGAACGCCUGGUGGUUAAUACCCAUCAGGAAAGACAUCACUCACAGAAGAAGCACCGGCUAACUCCGUGCCAGCAGCCGCGGUAAUACGGAGGGUGCGAGCGUUAAUCGGAAUUACUGGGCGUAAAGCGCGCGUAGGUGGCUUGAUAAGCCGGUUGUGAAAGCCCCGGGCUCAACCUGGGAACGGCAUCCGGAACUGUCAAGCUAGAGUUCAGGAGAGGAAGGUAGAAUUCCCGGUGUAGCGGUGAAAUGCGUAGAGAUCGGGAGGAAUACCAGUGGCGAAGGCGGCCUUCUGGACUGACACUGACACUGAGGUGCGAAAGCGUGGGUAGCAAACAGGAUUAGAUACCCCGGUAGUC
rnacentral:rRNA from 1 species